UCUCUCUACCCUUGCCUGCUGUACAUAGACAGAGCAAUAAAACAGACUAUGAAGAUAAAGUUUUGUCUCCUGUCAUCAUAGGAAAUGUAAGUUUAAAAACCCUAUCUGUUUAAAUGCACACAUUGGAUUCUGUCAGGAGAAAAUAUUGUAUGUUAACUGCUGUAUGUAAGUUAAUUGACACUAUCAAUAAAGAAGUAUCAGUAAUGAAGAAAUCCCAGUUAAUAAAUAGGAAAAAGAUGAAGACCAACUGUUUUAAGACAGAAGAAGACACAUGUUACAUUUGGUGGCUCUGUUUAAUAAAAGUGAUCAAGUACCAUAUUAGAAACUUAUAACUGCACAAUAUGGUAUAAAUAAAAGAGAGAAGUACACACUAAGGGGGGAAGGUUUGAAUCCAGAAUGCUCCUCUAAUUGAGAAUAUCCCACUGAGAUUCUCUGAGCAAGGUGUAAUAGCAAUAACAAAUUACAUCCUGGAAGGUUACAAAACUAUUGUCAGGAUUGUGGAGUUGACAUAUGAGGUAUUGAUGACCAAGUGUAGGUAUGAGCAAGGCAAGGAGCGGAAGAACUGUAAGGCUAUGUUAAAUGUUAACAUAUGUUAUGUUGAAUGAGACAUUUGCUAAUUUUUCAUAGUGAUUCUCAAUUCUGCCUGUAUAUUUGAAACACCUGGAGAAGUCUUAAAAAUGCCAGUGCUUAAGUCCAAUCCUGAUCAAUUUAAUCACUUUUUGGUAGUGAGUUUUCUGUGGUUUUAUUUAUAUUUCAAAUCUCCCUGCAGCCAGUGUUGGGCAAUAUUGAUUUAGAAUUGCAGUAGAACUGGGUAGGAGAGCUGACAUUGAGAGAGGUGCCUAAAUCUUCAAAUAAACAAACACAAAGUGCAGAUGUCACUAUGACAGAAUUAGUCCAUGGAGUCUUGUAUACCCAUUAAUUGAUAAGAAAAUGGGACAAUACACGCCGUACACAAAA
rnacentral:lncRNA from 1 species